rnacentral:sRNA from 1 species
UUCCGCAGAUGCCGGCGGAAGAUCAGCGCCGC